rnacentral:lncRNA from 1 species
AAGAUGUGUCAGCGAAAAGAGAAAAUAAAAAUCUCAAAGUUGUUGAGAGAGUUUGUGCAGGGCAGUUGUGUGUUGAAUUGGAGAGACUUGAACGAUGCACAACCUCCUCUAUUUAUAGCACCAGAUACCUUUUAGGCCGAGUUAAAACCCUACUUGGAUUAGGACUUCUUCUCCUAAUCAAACACCAUGUCACCGAGACUCCUUAUUGUCCCAGGAUUCGAUUACUCAUCUUGCAGCACAACCGACCUAGGUUUGGAAGCCCACGAACUAAACCAUCCAUGAUAACUUUGUCGUAAGGCCUUCUGGGCCGAGAAUGAUUCUAUACUUGGCCCAAACUAAUAUUUUGGUCCCAAACAGUGACUCACGAACGUCCUCCAACUGAAAUUACUCUAAAAUUCGUCUAUUUGGUUCUGUUUUGCUCUAGAGGAAGUCGAAAGUCCUAUAUUGGGAAUACAAUUCAAAGUAUUAAAAUUCUUCCAAAAUAUACUAAGAAUAGGGUAAAAUAUAUAAUAUGAGAUUUACUCAUCAUUUAUCUUGAAGCACCACAACUCGAGCAUACAUCUAGAUUUGAUGUAUCUUUCCAAAAUAGGAUGCAAUCGUUAGGGCAAUCAUCGAUCUUUUCAUACUUAAGUUCCAAAUCAUCAAUAAUUCUUUUGGCUUGUUUUGAGGAUUUUGGCAAACAAUUUCUAUCAGGCAACAUAUCGCUAAAAAUCCCCAUAAACAUGGAGAAAGCCAUAUUAGUCAGAUUUCUCAAGCACUUGAUUUGGUACAAUUUCAGAACAUCAUUAAGGAAGCCAUACAUUUCACCAGUCUCCCUUCGUCAGUAAAAUCUGUUUGAAUUGUAUUUAUUUAUGAACUGAUAAAGGUCUUCCCAUGAUGCGUAUAUAUUAUCUUAUCUUUACGAUUAGAAUUAGCAAUGAAUUCAUUUAUAAACAAAUACAACCCCACACUAUACUCAUUGGCGGGGCGAUCCAAAUGUACCCACCCCUUAUACAUUUUUUCCUGUUAUGCAAAACAACAAAUACAGAUAAAAACGUUUCGAAGAAUUUACACCUUGCCAAUUAAGAAGCAAUCACACUCACCUUAAGCAAGUUUUCAACUUUCUAUAUACAAAGCUAUCGUCUUGGAUAAUUUCUGCACCAUAAAGAGUACAAGUUAGAAAUAUAUCCAAAUUAACCUACACAAGACAAAUUAGAAACAUAUUCAAUAAUAUACACAUACGUAUGUAGUCCUACACGACCCAAAUAUAUUCAUCCCAAAGAAUAAAAAUAGAGGUGAAUUGAAAUUCAACGUCCAUUAUAAUGUAAUGUAAUACUAAAUCUAGUAAUCAUCGUCUCCCUUUAUUAAAAAGGAAAUUUAAUUAAAACAAAUAAUAAUAGACACAAAAUGCUUAAAGCCUUAAACUGAAUCUAGUAAUCAUCAUCUCCCUUUAUUAAAAAGACAUUUAAUUAAAACAAAUAAUAAUAGGAGCAAAAGGCUUAAAAGAUUAAUUAUAAAAACAUUAGGGGCAGAUAAUACCCCACCUAGUUAUUUAAAACGACAUAUGGAAAUUUUUGGUUUUUUUUUUUUUUUUGCUGCAAUUUCCCACCCAAUCCCUCUUUAAAAUUGGGUGCUAUUCUUUUUAAUUUUUUUUUUAACAAACAAUAUUAUCUACACUAAGGGGGAGGGGGUGAGUUAAGCCUCACAAUGGACUAGUAAUAAUGUUGUUCAAGUUCGUCUUUAGCGAGAAUCGAACCUAAGACCUUUCACUUACAAGUGAAGAGGAAUACCACUAGACCGUAGUACUAAGUGGCUACUGAGUGCUAUUUUCCGCCUUUAAAAACUCAUUAAUAUGUGCAAUUCUUUUAAUCUACCCCUAAUAAUUUAUUUUCAUGUAGUGUCUUUUUAGAAUAGAAUCCUUGUUCUAAACCGUAAGAAUCCAAGAGAAUAUCUAGAAGUAGAUAUUGUACCCUCUUAGGAGUUGUGAUUAUUUUUGGCGCACACCAAUUCCUAGAAUGUAAGAACUUCAAGACUUAUGAGGAAUCUGAUCUCGUGUCUUGCGGAACAAACAUGGUCAUACUAGCAGUGUCGCUUGAACUUCACCUAUUGCCUUGGAACAGGAUGAUGGUAGCACUAAUGCUCCGUCUAGUCCAGUUUUGCUCGGAGUUAUUGCGUCUAAAACCAGACUUCUAAGGUAACGAUAUUCUGAUCAGUCUUACUUUAACCCUGGAAAAUCAUGGUCCCACAAUUGCCCCUAACUAUGCAUCUAUAAUACAACCUGUUUCUCUUGAGAAUGGAUAGUUAUCCAGACCAUGCCUUUCAGAGUAAACUUGAAUACUUACCGCUUAGUCUUCUUUCUUCCCGUGGUGAUCUAAUUUCUUGUGGUGUAGUCGAGAUGCUUCAAAUUCGGACGUGUGGUCUCGAGUGCUGCGCCACAAAAAUCAUAAUGAUUAUGCAUAUCAUGUAGGCACAUUUUGCAAAAGGCUGCCAUUCAUUUCUCUGAGUUGCUUCGAUCUCCGUAUCCAUUGAUCUCUAGGCAAAGACUCCUUGUAUUCAACGGUUAUAUCGCUUGCUGCUUUGUCUUUAAAUAGCUCUUUCCCUGUUAGGACUUUUCAGAUUUCUUUCUCUCUGUCUGCACUACAAAGCCUCAUCCUCUAGUCCAUAGUUUUCUUUCUGAGCCUUGUUCCCUCUAUGAGCCUUUGAUGUUUAGGAUUGCAAAACCAAAUAACCAUGUUUUGCUUACUAGUUUUGCCAAACAAGACUAGGCAAAAACAAGUUAACCUAUACUCACAUAAUAGCAUCUUUUGCUCUUACAACUUGCUCCAUAACCUUCACCCUUAUGCAAUAUCCUCCUUGCAGUCUUCGCAUACGGAUUCAAUCCCAACAAAGUAUUGAGAUGUUCCAAAGGAUUCUUUAUAGGAACCCUCUUUGCAUUCAUAUGGGAGUGAACGCCGGUGAUUGCUUGAUUUCAUCAGAGUUGAUGACCUCGGCCAAGCUUAUUUCGUAGUCUUCAUAGGAGAAUUUCUAUUCCAGGGGUGAGAGCUUGUCUCCCCCAAAACAGUUGUACUUUUCCAUGCCUUUUUCAUGAGACUUUGACAAUAAACAUAUGUUUGUAUGAAUUCUCUCUUCCUCUAAUCCAUUGCUUUUUUAUUCACGGAUGAAAAUCUUAAUUGAUAAAUCUUUCCAAAGUAAACAGACUUAAAUAAGUAAUAGAGCAAAACACGAGUACGUUUAUUGGCUCAGCACAAAGCUUAAAAACCCCCAUUGGUAAUGUUCAUUCGAAAAAACAUUACCUCCCAAACUUAGUAUUCAUAAAGUUUUCCAUCGCGAUAUCAUGGGAUUUUGAUAAUAAAUGUUCAUUUGGAAAAACAUCACCUCCCAAACUUAGUAUUCAUAAAGUUUUCCAUUGCGAUAUCAUGAGAUUUUGAUAAUAAACAUUACCUCUCAAACAGUUGUACUUUUUGUGCCUUUUUCAUGGAAUUUUGAUAGUAAACAUGUGGUUGCAUGAAUUCUCUCUUCCUCUCAUCCCUUGCUUCCUUAUUCACAGAAUAAAAUCUUAAUCCAAUAAAUCUUCCCAAGGUAAAUAGACUUUUAGAUCAAAUAAGUAACAGAGCAUAACACAGUAAGUUUGUGAGCCCAGGAUAGAGGUCAAAAACCCCCUUGGUAAUGUUGAUUCGGAAAAAUAUUAGCUCUCAAACUUUGUAUUAAUAAAGUUUCUCAUCACUCAAAACCCCAUUUUGUGGGCCCUGGACAAAGCUUUAACUAAAUUUUUAUAGGCUUUAUGAUGCCUAUGCACCCUUCUCGUUUAGGCUGGCCAUUAUUUCCUACAACAAACCACUUUUGGCCAAGCUUGGCUGAUGCCACCCUCUUUUCUGGGGCCAAAACUUUCACAUGCCUUAUUAGCCUUUUCUUUUUCGAGCUGCUCUUGCUAGAUGAUAGGGGGAUGUUGAACUCCACUAUCUCUCUGGUGCUUACUUAUCUCUAGAGGUGAGUGUCAUUCGAAACCUAGGAUGGCUGAUAGUUGCGAAAUAUUUCAGACAAGUUUUUCUUCUUUGAACAUCCUCCUAACCUUCUAAACAUACUAUCACUUUUCAUCAUUUUUUUCUUUCGGACUGUAAGGUUUAUAAUUUUUGGUUGGGGGCUAAGGCAUCUUUCAGCUGCUUCUUACCUUUCCCUAGCAACUUCUUGUCAAUUAUGGCUCCAGGAGUUCGAACUUCUAGCUUAUACUCACAUUGGGACCUACUACAAAGAACAAUUCCUUUGAUUAUUGUAGUCUUAGGCCUCUCGGGCAACCUUUUGUUGCACCCACUUUUCUCUCUCUUUCUUAUUUUCUCACCUAUGUCCAAGGUUAACUUCCCCUUGCUUCUCUUAGGCCAAUUUAGAUUCACCAUAUUGAUUGGGGCCUUAGGACAAGGAUCAACAUUGAUCAUCAUUGAUCAUCAUUGCCAUCUGUUUUUCUAAUAGUAGUCUCCCAUUGACAGUUAUGUUUUAAAUCCCGUCCCUGAAUUGCACACAAUUUGUAAUGGAGUGGUUGAAUGUGUAGUGAAUUUUGCAAUACUUCUUUUCCGUAAUCUUUUCAAGUUUACGGAAUUCUAGAAUAAAGCAAUGUCACCCUGGCUUUUACUAACUCUUCAUAAAUGUCUGCAGACCUUGGUGAGAUAAAUGAGUAGGUUUGGAACUUUGGUGGUUUCAUAGGCACAAACCCUCCAUCUUUUAUUACUACCUUUUGAUUUUUGAUUUGCUUGACCAAUCCUUUCACCGUCAAUGGUUUGAAUGGUCGUAUCAUCUUUGUAGCAUAAACCUCUAUAUGCCCCUCUAAAUGCUCCCCUGUCUUCAUUUUGUCCAAAAUCUUCAAGCUCUAGCUAUGAAUUCAAGUCUUGCUCACAAAAAAUGGAGGCUUAAGAUGUUACUCCUCAACAAGCAAGCUUUCAUACUUAGUGGUUGCAAUCACUAGUAUCUUCAGCUUAUUGAAUUACAGAUGAUCUAACUUAUUUUUUGGCAGCAACCUCAGGGCCUUUUGAGCAAUUGCAAUGAGCUGCCUAUGGUUUAUAGGGGCUGGCAUCUCAUUAUGGUAUUUUUGAUACAUUAUCAUGAAAUCCUUAGUUGACAUAUGCUCAUAUUGUUUACGUCCACUAGGUCUUGGAUGUCACCUCAGGUUUUACUCUAUAAAACUAUUCAUUGACAAUCGUCUCCAUUUGAUCCCAAUUAGCAAUGGAGUUGGAAGAUAAGAAAGAGUACCACUAAGAAGCUAAUCAUGUCAAAGAAUUUCCAAACAGCCUCAACUUGUAGUUUGGUUUAUCUUCAAAUGCUACACAAUGGUUAGAGAACUUAAAAAUGUGAUCCCUUGAAGAAAUUUUGAAGUUCUCUCUACCAAAAGCGAGGAAAGAAGGCAUCUUGAAAUUCAGAGGAAAAUGAUUCUAUUCAUUAAUGUAGGCACAAUAUGGUAAGUUAUCUUUAACAUCGGGCAAGCCUGAGGCUAUGCAUUUUGAAAGAUUAGCCUCCUUAAAUCAGCUACUUCAUUCUUGAGUUGCUGGUUUUCCCCAUGUUUUGGAAGAUUCAUAGAUGAUCCCACUCUUCCAGAACCAUUUCUAGUUGUUUCAAUUUCAGCCCAUUCCCCCCUAAUUGGCCCUUAAUGAAGGCUUAUAAAGUGGUGGCAUUGUCAACAUUGGGGGGAAAAUAUUUUCCAUUGAACCCCUCCACUGCUAGUAGAAGCAACAUAGUAUACCUCGUUUUUCUUUAUCCUGACUACUUCUCAUUUUCCCAGAUUUAACUCUGGUCUUUAAACAAAAGAUUGGUGUUGUUUACUUGGUGGGUUAAAUUAGAAAAUCUUGUCUCCUACUUUCUCUAUAGCCCGCAAGUGGCACUACAAAGCUUGUUGAUCUCGCCUUUGGUGUCAAUUACAGCAGCCUCCAUACUCCUUAUCACUUGGAGAAUGGUUGAUUACAAAUCUUCAUUGGACACUUCUUUACCUGAGUGACCCGAAUGAGUAGAACUUUCAUCAGUUCUAGGACUUUGACUAGGAGUGAGUUCACCAUCUUUCUCAACCAUUUUUGUUGGUUUGGCAAGAUGUGGUAAAGUAGCUUUAAACCUUCAUCUUGAAUCCUUAUCUUUUUUUUUUGGUGGUUUGGCAUACAACACAAUGAUUAUCACACUGGGUGUGCUACAAUUAUAUGUUGAUGGAUUUGCGAUCUGCACACAACUUCUCUUGUGAGGAUGGUGAACUCAACGUGUCAGUUUAAUGCUGUAUUUUGGAGGCCUUGAGCAGGCCUUCAGGCUCUUUUUAAUUUGUUAUUUUUAGGCGUGGCACUGUUAGUUUAGACCAACAAAUUGAUUGAUUGUAUGUUGUUUAUUAAGUUGUUUGCUUGCGCCACAAGUAAAUCGAGUUUCUUAUCAAAGGGCAGUGCCAUAAAGAGUUUAAAUCUACGUUAAGUUCUUUUAUAUGCCUAGUUGCCAAGGACUUUACAAUUUUUUUUUUAAUUUUUUUUUUGUGUUUAUGCCAAGAGACAACACAAACUAUUCAGAUAUGAGUCUAACAAUGUUUGCAGCUAUCAGGUAAAUAUAAAGAAUGAAAGUAAUGCAAAUAAUGAUAGAGAGGAAAGACAUGAAAUAAAAGAAAGUUAGACGCUUAUCAAAUGUUAAUCAGUAAAAUAAUAACUUGCACAAAAUAGGUAAUAACUCAAAUAGAAAUAAAAAAUACAAGCAUUCGAAUAAAGUGUAAACAUAUUUGAGCAAGUUCCAAUGCUAGACAGGCAAGUUCUUGCAAGUAGGCAGAGUGUUUGGAAAGUAAGUUUUAAUAAAGGAAAUCAAUACUACAUGCAAUGCAACAGAGUUUUUUAAAGUUGAAGUACAAUGAACAAGAGGAAAAGAUGUCUUGAAUUGUAAAAAUAAUUUGUAAAAAGUAGGUUUGCAAAACUUUGAAGUCUUGCUAUAUGUUGAGAUAAGUAUCAUUUUAUUAUGUCGUUCUGUUACCUUCUGUUAAACAAUCUUCCUUUCAAGUCUAAAGGGGUGUAGUCAAACUAAGAUUUUAAAGGAUUUCAAAAGUGAUAGAUUUAAUAGGAUUUAGGAAGAUUUAAGACUCCUACAAAAUUCAUAUGGAUUUUAAAGAAUUUGAACGGAUUUAGUUUGUAGAUUUUGGUGGAUUGUGGUGGAUUUUCAUAUAAUUUUUUUAUUGAAAAGAAAAAGGAAAAAUCUUUCCCCUUGCCCUACUAUACUCGAUAGCCACUUUAUCCCCUCCCUUUUCGGGUCCCCUUUCACAUAAUCACGGCUCCAUCUCUUUAUCAAUUGAUAGAUCAACAUAACUUUGGUGAGCUAUUGAGCACUACACCAUCAACAACCAUCACCACCGACUGCUCUUUUGCCAUAGACGUAUACUAUGGUACUUCAGUAGUGCUUGUAGUACCAUAGACAUUAAAAAAUAAGAAUGGGUGAGAGAGUAGUAUUAACCAAAAUCCUAGAUUGAUCAUGUCCUUCGAUGAUCAUACAUGCCUAAUUAAGGUCUAAGGGUCAUAAUAAGAGAUUCCACCAAAAUAUAUGGUGGUUACCUAUGUGUGGCUGGGGUUGGUAGAGAUUUGAGAACUGCCCAGAUGGAAAAAGAUUUGAAAUCAUAAGGGGUGAGGUUGAAUUCUUUUUAGUCUUAGGUAUAUCUACUUCUUGCUCUCAAAUCCCACAAAAUCCACAACUUAUUGAAAUCUUCCAAAAUCUUAAUUUUUUUAAUACACUUAGAUUUGGAUGAAUUUUAAAAUCCUUUAAAAUCUUUUAAUUGACUAUACCCAAAUUUGAAUGGAUUCUAAAAUCCUUUAAAAUCUUUUAAUUGACUACACUAGGAUUUUAAAGUCUUUUAAAAUACUCUCAAAUCCGAGUUUCACUACACCCCCUUAAGUCUUUCCCCUUUAGAUUAUUCCUCUCUAAUCUCAGUUGCUGAUGUGGCUAUAGUUAGAGAGUAAGUUUGCAUCUUGCGAAUUGAGCCUUUGUCCCUCUAGAACUACGAGACAGCCACUAGAAAGAAAUGUUUCUCUGUAAAAAUCGACUGAUUUUACCUUCGUCAAGUGUGAAUGAGGAGAAAUUUUUUGGGGUGACGGGAACCCCACAUCAUCCUGGACAAUUGGUGUACCCAUCCAAUAGGAGGAUGCCAUGUUCCCCCAUUAAAAAAUCUUUUUGAUUUAGUUUUUAAGAAAAUCAAUUAAAUGAACACUAAACCAAAAAAAUAGAACAUCUCGACAACCGAGCUAACAUCACCAUGGGUAGGUGACAGCUGGAAUACUCCUUCAAUGAAGUUACUCCACCUGUUCUAUUUAUAAGUCUACAAGGUAUAUCUUUUAAAAAAUUAAUUAGAUAAAAACUAAAAUAGAAAAAUUCAAAUACAAAUUCUCCAGGCCAUACAUACAACCAUCACUCCGGCGAAACACGCCACCCCAAUCUUGUCAAAAUAUGGUACCACACCACCUCCCUCUCUUCCUCUUCCUUAUAGACGAACAACAAUGGGUAAGAGUGGUAGAUGGAGUUCCUCCAAUUGAUAACCCGCUGAAGCUAUGUGCCGAACCUAUCUUCCUCGUCGUCAUCUUCACCGGCUUGAUGUUUGAGUUUUUCUUUGACGGGCAAUCUUUGCUCCUUGCUGGGUUUUUUGUGAUGGGCAUGAAACUGCGAGGCGGACCAGCACAGGAGUCGACUCAUUGAGUUAAUAGUAGCGCGAGUUAGAGAUUGUAGUGGGAGUUGAAUGACUCAAUUUUUUUCCAAGAAUAUGUGACCAAAAUUGCGUUCUUCUUUUCCCAUCUCUGCAAAAGAAGGAUGAAAAUUUGGGAGGAAGACAAAUCGGACGCCGGGGAGGGGCGCUGUGGGUUGUUUUGGCUCGGGCAUCGAGAUGUUUUAGUUUUAGUUUAAUUGAUUUUCUUAAAAACUAAAUUAGAUUGAUUCUUUAAUGGGAAACGUAGCAUCCUCCAAUCGGAUGGGUACACCAACUGUCUAUGAUGAUGUGGGGUUCCUAUGAUGUGGGGUUCCCAUCACCCCGAAAAAUUUCUCGUGAAGGAGGGCUCUUUUACCACCCACGACGCCACGUCAUAAAACACUUUCAAAAGAGUGGGCAUGCUCACUGUUCAUUUGCCUUGAAAUUAAAAACCCAUUUAGGCUUUGUUUACUUAGUGAGUGGGGCCUUCAAUAGGCCCAAUACAUCAUUUUCGUUAGGCCUGGCAAACGGGUCGUGUCUGUCGUGUUCGUGUCGUUUUCGUGUAACACCUG